rnacentral:ncRNA from 14 species
AAGUUAAAAACGAAAACACCUCAUAUAUACUCGGGAAUAUGGCUCGAACGUUUCUACCCGGCAACCGUAAAUUGCCGGACUAUGAGGGGAAGUCAUUACGCG